rnacentral:lncRNA from 1 species
CACGCCAGGGACCAGGCAUCCAGCCACACCACCAGCCAUGGAGUAAGAAGGAAAGAAAGGGCUGGUGAUGUAGCUCAGAGAUAGAAAGCUUGUCUUGUUGAGCAAACACAAGGCCCUGGGUUCCACCUUCAGCACUGAAGACAACAAAGCAGCAAUAGCAGCAACUAAAUAUCAGAAGAGCUGGGUGGCAUAUGGUUUAAUCACAGCACUCAUAAUCUGGAGAAAGCAAAGAAAUGAAUCCAAGUUUCCACGAUGAAACACCUCUAAGUCAUGAGAGGUGUUAAUGAAGAGCUCUUUGGGGCAAGAAGUUGGCCCUGGGAUACAUAGAAACCCUGAAAAAUCCUGGCUGGGUACUCAGUGGGC